GACGAACGCUGGCGGCGUGCUUAACACAUGCAAGUCGAACGGAAAGGCCCUGCUUUUGUGGGGUGCUCGAGUGGCGAACGGGUGAGUAACACGUGAGUAACCUGCCCUUGACUUUGGGAUAACUUCAGGAAACUGGGGCUAAUACCGGAUAGGAUCUCCUGCUGCAUGGUGGGGGUUGGAAAGUUUCUGCGGUUGGGGAUGGACUCGCGGCUUAUCGGCUUGUUGGUGGGGUAGUGGCUUACCAAGGCUUUGACGGGUAGCCGGCCUGUGAGCGUGACCGGCCACAUUGGGACUGAGGUACGCCCCAGACUCCAACGGGAGGCAGCAGUGGGGAGUAUUACACAGUGGGCGGAAGCCGGAUGCAGCAGCGCCGCGUGCGGGAUGACGGCCUGCGGGUUGUAAACCGCUUUCGCCUGUGACGAAGCGUGAGUGACGGUAAUGGGUAAAGAAGCACCGGCUAACUACGUG
rnacentral:rRNA from 1 species